AACUGACGGUACCCAGCAGAAUAAGCCCCGGCUAACUUCGUGCCCAGCAGCCGCGGUAAUACGUAGGGGGCAAGCGUUAUCCGGAAUUACUGGGUGUAAAGGGUGAGUAGGCGGUUGUAUAAGUCAUAUGUGAAAGCCCGAGGCUCAACCUCGGGACUGCAUAAGAAACUGUAUAACUAGAGUACAGGAGAGGUAAGCGGAAUUCCUAGUGUAGCGGUGAAAUGCGUAGAUAUUAGGAAGAACACCAGUGGCGAAGGCGGCUUACUGGACUGUAACUGACGCUGAGACACGAAAGCGUGGGGAGCGAACAGGAUUAGAUACCCUGGUAGUCCACGCCGUAAACGAUGAGUGCUAGGUGUCGGGUCGAGAGAUUCGGUGCCGCAGCUAACGCAAUAAGCACUCCACCUGGGGAGUACGGUCGCAAGAUUGAAACUCAAAGGAAUUGACGGGGGCCCGCACAAGCGGUGGAGCAUGUGGUUUAAUUCGAAGCAACGCGAAGAACCUUACCAAGGCUUGACAUACACAUGAGUAAUGUGGAAACACAUUAGUCCUUCGGGACAUGUGAACAGGUGGUGCAUGGUUGUCGUCAGCUCGUGUCGUGAGAUGUUGGGUUAAGUCCCGCAACGAGCGCAACCCUUGUCCUUAGUAGCCAGCAUUUAGGGUGGGCACACUAGGGAGACUGCCGUGGAUAACACGGAGGAAGGUGGGGAUGAGGUCAAAUCAUCAUGCCCCUUACGUCUUGGGCAACACACGUGCUACAAUGGGCGCUACAAAGGGAAGCGAGACAGUGAUGUGGAGCAAACCCCAAAAAGGCGUCCUCAGUUCGGAUUGUAGUCUGCAACUCGACUACAUGAAGUUGGAAUCGCUAGUAAUCGCGAAUCAGAAUGUCGCGGUGAAUACGUUCUCGGGCCUUGUACACACCGCCCGUCACACCACGGGAGUUGGAAGCGCCCGAAGUCUGUGACCCAACCAUUUAUGGAGGGAGCAGCCUAAGGUGAAGUCAGCGACUGGGGUG
rnacentral:rRNA from 1 species